AUUGAACGCUGGCGGCAGGCCUAACACAUGCAAGUCGAACGAGUGGCGGACGGGUGAGUAAUGUCUGGGAAACUGCCUGAUGGAGGGGGAUAACUACUGGAAACGGUAGCUAAUACCGCAUACCAUCAGAAGUGCCCAGAUGGGAUUAGCUUGUUGGUGGGGUAACGGCUCACCAAGGCGACGAUCCCUAGCCGGUCUGAGAGGAUGACCGGCAACACUGGAAUUGGGCACCGGUCCAGACCCCUCCGGGAGGCAGCAGUGGGGAAUAUUGCCAAAUGGGCGCAAGCCUGCGGCAGCCAUGCCGGGUGGAUGAAGAAGGCCUUCGGGUUGUAAAGUACGUUCAGCGGGGAGGCGUUACCCGCAGAGGAAGCACCGGCUAACUCCGUGCCAGCCGCCGCGGUAAUAC
rnacentral:rRNA from 1 species